rnacentral:rRNA from 1 species
GAUGAACGCUAGCUACAGGCUUAACACAUGCAAGUCGAGGGGAAACGGCAUUGAGUGCUUGCACUCUUUGGACGUCGACCGGCGCACGGGUGAGUAACGCGUAUCCAACCUUCCCAUUACUGUGGGAUAACCUGCCGAAAGGCAGACUAAUACCGCAUAGUCUUCGAUGACGGCAUCAGAUUUGAAGUAAAGAUUUAUCGGUAAUGGAUGGGGAUGCGUCUGAUUAGCUUGUUGGCGGGGUAACGGCCCACCAAGGCUACGAUCAGUAGGGGUUCUGAGAGGAAGGUCCCCCACAUUGGAACUGAGACACGGUCCAAACUCCUACGAGAGGCAGCAGUGAGGAAUAUUAGUCAAUGGACGGAAGUCUGAACCAGCCGAGUAGCGUGUAGGAUGACGGCCCUAUGGGUUGUAAACUGCUUUUGUAUGGGGAUAGAGUUAGGGACGUGUCCCUAUUUGCAGGUACCAUACGAAUAAGGACCGGCUAAUUCCGUG